rnacentral:rRNA from 1 species
CGGUUGAUCCUGCCGGACCCUACUGCUAUCGGGGUGGGACUAAGACAUGCGAGUUGAGCGUCUCUAAGCUAUGGUAGAGACGCGGCGUACGGCUCAGUAACACGUGGCUAACCUACCCUUAGGACGGGGAAAACCCCGGGAAACUGGGGCUAAUACCCGAUAGGCGAGGAGGCCUGGAAUGGUUCCUAGUCGAAAAGGCGUUGAAACCAUGCUUUUCGACGUCGCCUAAGGAUGGGGCCGCGCCCGAUCAGGUUGUUGGUGGGGUAACGGCUCACCAAGCCUAUAACCGGUACGGGCCGUGAGAGCGGGAGCCCGGAGAUGGGCACUGAGACAAGGGCCCAGGCCCUACGGGGCGCAGCAGUCGCGAAAACUCCGCAAUGCGCGAAAGCGUGACGGGGCUACCCCGAGUGCCGUCCGCUGAGGAUGGCUUUUCCUCGGUGUAAUGAGCCGGGGGAAUAAGGAGAGGGCAAGUCUGGUGUCAGCCGCCGCGGUAAUACCAGCUCUCCGAGUGGUAGGGAUGAUUAUUGGGCUUAAAGCGUCCGUAGCCGGCUUAGCAAGUCUCCUGUUAAAUUCAGCGACCUAAUCGUUGAGCCGCGGGAGAUACUACUAGGCUAGGAGGCGGGAGAGGCCGACGGUAUUCUCGGGGUAGGGGUGAAAUCCUAUAAUCCCGGGAGGACCACCAGUGGCGAAGGCUGUCGGCUAGAACGCGCUCGACGGUGAGGGACGAAAGCUGGGGGAGCGAACCGGAUUAGAUACCCGGGUAGUCCCAGCUGUAAACGAUGCGGGCUAGGUGUUGGGGUGGCUACGAGCCACUUCAGUGCCGCAGGGAAGCCAUUAAGCCCGCCGCCUGGGGAGUACGGCCGCAAGGCUGAAACUUAAAGGAAUUGGCGGGGGAGCAC